AUGUCGAAGUGUCCCUGAGCAAGACGCCUAACCCCUAAUUGCUCCCUGGGCAAAAAACGUGAAAAGCUAUGGGUUAAAAAUGCAACGUAAGUCAGCUAAAUGACCUGUAAUGUAACAACAGGUGGAGUCACGUGUUUUGUUGAAGACGACUAGAGAGUCACGUCUUUGUGUGUGGAAGUCGCUGGUUGCUUUAUUUAUUGAUCAUAGACUUUAUUGCCCUGUGCAUCCACACUGCUGCUUUUCAUCAAGGACACAUUUGUCCCGCAUAAGGACGACUUUGUUCCCCUCGUUGGUGGAGAUCUCCCUCCAUGAAUCAGAGGCCAUCCGGCGUCCUCAUAGUCCGCCAAUGACGGCUUGUCUUCAAUCUGAUCCGUUCUCUCGUAAACGUUCUUUGUUUAGAUAAUGGCGGUAUUGUGCAAUGAAACCAGAAAUGUGAGACCAAUUCAAAGAUUCAAGUUUCAAGAUUCAAAGAUUUUUAUUGUCAUUUACACACUGUUUACACCCUGUGUAUUUAAAUUAUUGUACUUGCCUUUCCGGAAAGGCGACCAAUUUUAAAAUUAAAAUAAAGACAAGAAUACAAUAUUUACAUAAAUGUACAUAAAAUAAAAAUAAAAAAUGAGGUAAGGAUAAGGCAGAAAUGAGGUGACAAGGAAAAGUGCAAAACUGAGCAGGUUGUAAAAGAAAAAAAACUUAAAUUAAAUUAAAUAUGUGCAAUAUAAAUGAACAGUAAGUGAAUCCUAACAACAGGGCGUAGACCAGUUGUGGAUUAGGUUAUAGAGUCCUCUCAGCUGUUGAUGGCUCUAAUGGCAGUGGGGAAAAAAAGUUUCAGUCUGGUGGUCCUGCAUUUGACACUUCUGUACCUCCUGCCUGAGGGUAGAAGCUUCAACAGUCCAUGAUGGGGGUGGGCGGCGUCAUGGAGGCAGCUCUCCUGUGAACCCCGCGGUGGUAGAUGUUCUGCAGAGAGGGCAGCGGGGUCUUGGUGAUCUUCUCUGCCCUCCUCACCACUCUCUGCAGGCGUUUGCGGUCCAUGGUGGAUGUGAUGCCGUACCACACGCCACCUGAUGGACAGUGAGGAUCAGUGAAGGACAGUGAUUAUCAGUGAGGGACAGUGAGGGACAGGUAUCGUGGAUUGCUGUUGGGACAGAGACAUUUUGUCCUACUGGCUGCCAUAAGAAGACAGAUUAGUAUGCACAGUCAGGCCCAUGAAUAUUUAGACUUUAAGACGAUUUUCAUUAUUUUGGCUCUGUACUCAAACACAAUGCGUUUUUUAAUGAAACUAUGAAGACUUGUGAAGGAUACAGACUUUAAGCUUCAACUGGAGGGUGUUUACAUCAAAGUUAGUUGAGUGGUGUAGCAAUUACAAGACAUUGUACACGUCAUCUUGACCGAAGGGAAUUGAACAAUUGGCGGACCGGCGGUUCCAUUGUGUGUGUGUUAUUCCCUCAUUAUUUGAUUAACAAGGAGCAGAUAAAAGGUCCAGAGCUGUGGUAUCUGCAUCCUAUUGGACUGUAAGUCCCCUCGCCCUCCCAACCAAGGACCUGGUGUUCUUCUCCGUUGGAGAAAGUCAAGUUCUCACUGUGGAGACACCCUGAGAAAUUCAAAUCCACCUGGGCCUCGAUCAUCCAAUACUACUUCAUGAAUGUUUUUUGUGACAAAGGAGUAUCUGUUCCAAUCACACUAUCAGUUCUUUACACGUGCAUGUAAACGUUUGACCACAGCUGUGCCUCCUCCUCAAUGAAGCACGGUGGAGGCGGUGUCAUGGCUGCUAAUGCAACUGCUCCCUUCAUCUAUUGAUAAUUUGAGGAGGAUUUCUGAAGUGUUUUUGGCAAGUUAUCUACAGCCAAAACAUAUUGGGCGACGCUGCACGUGCAGAUGCCUGCAUGCAUUUCACAUGCUGAGGACAGCUGGAGGGAAAUGGCUGGAGGAACCAGCAGGAAGGGAACCCAGCGUCUGCUGAUGUCUACGUGUUGCACCCUUCAGGCUGGCAUUGACUGCAAAGGAUUUGCUACCAAAUAUUAAAAGUGACAAUUUGAUUUAUGAUUAUGUUACUUAGUCCGUUACUUUUAAACAUUUGUAUGUAUAUAUUUUUAUAAUAUAUCAUUUCUUUGCUGCACCAAUGGCCUCUUUUGGUUGUAAUAAACCACAAACGAUGCGCUGCAGGUAGAUGCAUCGCCCUCUAUUGGCUUUCCUGCCACAGGAACAGACCCAGAACAACAAGAAUCAAGAAAGAACAAUUCUUUGAAGAAAGCCAAACUACAAAGUGCUAUAAGUGUAACUGCUGCUGACGUGUCCCACGCAGAUAGAGGAAGGAAGCUACUGACCACAAGAUGAUGACAUGAUUUGUUCAGAUCUCCGCAAAACAAAACCAUCAGCAGGUUCCGGUUUAUUAGAAACCAGUGCUUGCACACAGAAAUAAAGAUCCUGCCACCCCCCCCAAGCCGCCCAUGAGGGCUCCAGGUGCAGCAGAGAUGGCGAAUGAGGAAGGGAUGCAUUUGGAAACACUUUCUUCUUGCCUUUUCUUGACAGAGAGGAUCAAAAGAGAGGCUGCUUUAUCAUUUAUUUAUUCACUACCGUGAGCAAAACCAAUAAAAGUCCUCUGAAUGGCGGCAGACGUCUUAAAACCUGGACGUAAAACCAAAACGUCUGCGACGUGAGAAGACUUAUGUGGUUUGCUUCUCUGGGGGACUGACCCUGAACGAUGAAUGAUUUGUACUAUUUAUAAUUACUGUGAAAAAAACCUAAUUCGAGUCUUUUCAAUAACCAGAAAAAGUGCACAUGUCCCCAUAGGGCUGAAUGGGUAUUUUAAAAUAGGUAUUCAUAUUAGAUCAUAAAUGUGCUCAUUUUGGACUAAUGUGCAUGUGUGUGUUACACACACAGAAGUAACUGUGUGUGUGUGUGUGGGGGGGGGGGGGUCCUUAGCACCGCAGGACGGCGAUCAGCAAAUGCAGCAUCCUCCUCCACACUGACUGACUCGACCUGACCUUUGAGGGGGACAUUGCAUCC
ensembl:lncRNA